rnacentral:rRNA from 1 species
UACAGAGGUCUCAAGCGUUGUUCGGAUUCACUGGGUUUAAAGGGUGCGUAGGUGGGUAAGUAAGUCAGUGGUGAAAUCUCCGGGCUUAACCCGGAAACUGCCAUUGAUACUAUUUGUCUUGAAUACUGUGGAGGUCAGCGGAAUAUGUCAUGUAGCGGUGAAAUGCUUAGAUAUGACAUAGAACACCAAUUGCGAAGGCAGCUGGCUACACAAAUAUUGACACUGAGGCACGAAAGCGUGGGGAUCAAACAGG